AGUGGAGGGCUGUUAUUUUCGUUGUCUGGGUUACGCUUUCUUAAUACCCACUAACUUGAGACACGCUCGCUCUCUCCCUCUCUCGCUUUCUCUCUUUCUCGCUCGCCCCCUUCCUGAGGGUAAGGGAGAGGAAGCUAAUUGAGUUAGGGUAUGGAAGCUGCUUGUUGCUUCAGUUCCUAAGAGCUUGUUUAGAGAAAAGGAUAUAUAACCUUUUCACAAAUCACAAGUGAUGAUUAGGUUCCUAAACCCAGAAAGUGGUCUUAGGCUGGGAUGAAGAAGGGUUAUUUACUGUCUACUGGUUAUUCCUUGAAAAAUCUUCUAAAAUGAUUGGUUGGUUACCAAUGUUUCUGAGGAAGGUAGAAACAUAUGUACCAGUUGAUGCCUUUUAUUUUCUAUUUUCCAUCUAUUAUGAAAGAUUGAUGGUGAGUUCAGGAGUACAUGUUGAGCUUAUUCUAAGAAUUGUUGCUGCUUUUUAGAAUUCUGCGUUUUAAUGGAAUAGAAUUGUGUAUAAUUGUAGAAUCUCCCCGGAUCAGCGCAUAUACAAGUUUUUUUUUU